rnacentral:lncRNA from 1 species
GGCGCGGAUCCGGGGCCAAACCCUCCAGGGCUGCGCUGCAGACAGCGACGGCCAGAGGCGGAUACAGUCGGGUUUAGGGACCGCAGGAGCGAAUUCCCGGAGGCCUGCAGGAGCCGCCCCGCGCCGCGUCCAGCCUUUCUCUCUGGGCCUAGCGGGUCUCCCCCAGGCGCGCCCCUCCCUCCCCACAGGCGCACUUUCUCCACCUGCAUCUGGGGCGAGGCGCGGCUGGGAGCGAAGCACAAGUGGGCUGGGCGAGGUUUGGGGUUCGAGGAUUGCAGAGUGACCGCGGGGUCUGGGGAAGAGUUGUCUUGGUGGCGCCACCAGAGCCCGACCCGCCGCGGCCGGGACCCUGCAGGGCAGGUAGCGACCUGCGGAGAAGCCGCCUGGCGCGGCCGACUCGGCUGCCGGGGCGUGGGCCUGGGCCGGGCGCAGGAGCAGCGGGGAUGCUGGGUGCGCUCCGAGGGUGCGGCCUCCCGGCUGUGCGGGGCUCAGAGCCGGGUGCUGGGCGCGGGGCCUGGCAAAGAAAUCGUUCGACACAGCCGGAAUCCCAGGAAAAUCUACCUUUCUGGAGACUGCAGCUCCUGUGAUAGCUCAACAGACUUCAGUUCCUCACAAAUAUUGCUCUCUACGGUUUCCCCCAAAACACUUCAGGAAAUACAGUGUCCUGUCUUCACAAAUGCUUCUGCACUGAAGAAGCAGGACCUCAGGAAGAAGCUCCAUAAGCUGCCAGAAUACAAGUGGAGGCUCCUGGAGAGGACAGUGAAGCCAACACUCCUCUUGGCAGAAUGGGGUCCAGGGGUCGAUGAUUUCGGCUUCUUUCUGCCUACCAAAUCACUCAAAGCAGGCUUCAGUGGGCUCAAUUUCUUCCCAGAACCUGAAAUGCCUCACCAAGGAGUCGGUUUUCACUGCCAACCACGGAGAUCGCUCCGGCAAAGCAACCAUGUCGAAACAAUCCAUUUGCUGCGUUUUGAUUAUUUACAAAGAACAAGCACCUUUUCUGUUUGGGUUUCGCUUUUAGAAAAAAAUUAA